rnacentral:rRNA from 1 species
UACGUAUGGUGCAAGCGUUAUCCGGAUUUACUGGGCGUAAAGGGAGCGCAGGCGGCGCGCCAAGUCUGAUGUGAAACCCCGGGGCUCAACCCCGGGCAUGCAUUGGAAACUGGCGGGCUGGAGUGCCGGAGAGGUAAGCGGAAUUCCUAGUGUAGCGGUGAAAUGCGUAGAUAUUAGGAGGAACACCAGUGGCGAAGGCGGCUAACUGGACGGCAACUGACGCUGAGGCUCGAAAGCGUGGGGAGCAAACAGG